UACAGAGGGUGCGAGCGUUAAUCGGAAUUACUGGGCGUAAAGCGUGCGUAGACGGUUAUUUAAGUCGGGUGUGAAAGCCCCGGGCUCAACCUGGGAAUUGCAUUCGAGACUGAAUAGCUAGGGUACGGUAGAGGGAAGCGGAAUUUCCGGUGUAGCGGUGAAAUGCGUAGAUAUCGGGAGGAACACCAGUGGCGAAGGCGGCUUCCUGGCCUGUUCUUGACGCUGAGGCGCGAAAGCUAGGGGAGCAAACGGG
rnacentral:rRNA from 1 species